UGUUUGUUUCAUUUGUUUCUCUCUUUAAUAGAGAGAGAAAGAGCAUCAUUCACUAAAAGUGGAACCAAUGGAAACCAAGCUACCCAAAUUUUGAUCGUCACCACGGCGUUGGCCACCAAUGGGCUAUAGAGAUGAUGACCAAAAUAGUGGAUGCUUUGCAAAGGAAUGCAUAUCUAAG